AACGCACCUUGCGCCCCUUGGUAUUCCGAGGGGCAUGCCUGUUUGAGUGUCUUGAAAUCAUCAAACCGAACCGGUCUUUGUCGGCCGGCGCGGUUUGGACUUGGGGGUUUCCUUGCUGCCGCUCGCGGUGGCUCCCCUUAAAUUCAUCGGUCGGGCUUUCGUGCGGCUCUGUCCCUUGGCGUUGUAUUACCCUCGUCGCUGGAUGGCUCGCGAUACUGCGCCCUUCUUUGACCUGCCUCUGGAGCGGCGGUCUUCAACUUUUGUGAUCUGACCUCAAAUCAGGUAGGACUACCCGCUGAACUUAA
rnacentral:misc_RNA from 1 species